GGUGCCCGGUCAUUUUCAGCUCUGUAGGAUUCCUCCAUCAGAAAAUUUGAGGAUAACUGGAUUAGAGAAUGGCAUUUGAGGCGCAGGCAAGUGUAGACCCUGAACAGAAUGGAAGGGAUCCCCCUACAGGAAAUAGAAGGAGAAGGCGACUUAGCAAAUGCCAAGAUAUUUUUAGGUUGAUGGCAAGAAUUUGAAGAAUUUCCAUUGGAAAGCUUGUUUUACUGCAAUGUAGAAGUGAGCAAAGUGGAAAUGAAGAGGAUGUCUGGAGUUUGAGUAGCCCAUGGAGCAGCUCUGGAGGCCAAGAGAACCACCUGGCCAGAGCCUGCCAGAGCACCUAGGGACGCAGGAUGGGUGAGUACAGUGGUCCCCCCUCACCCAGCAGGCUAACACAUGUAAUGUUUUGCUGUAGGUAAAACAGGGAUGAAACAUUGAAUGAUUAAGCUAGUUGAUUUGUAGAUGCUAUAAAACGUCCUAAAAUAUUGUAUUAGUUGCUUGGUUCACUCUAUAUUCUAAUUUUAUGAGUACACACUUUUUAAAUUCAGCUUCUGAUACUAAUUUUGAAAUCUCACUCUAGAAAUCUGGGCAACUGUCAACCUUGCCAUCUUAUUUCAGCUUCACAAGGCAAAACAACAACUUUCCCAAAGGAAAUAGCUAAAUGGGUUUCUCACAUUUUCUUUUUGAAAGGUAAGCUGUGGCUUGUUUACCCAAUGGAUUACACAGUAAGGAGCUUAUGCAACCAAACAAUUGAAGUUCAGCUUCCUUGUCUGAAGUGAAAAAAUUCAGUUACUAAGGCUAAAUCUUCAGAACCCCAAUUCUAGGAUUGGCUCUUGUCUGCUACUAUAUCAUUCUGACAGAAAACUAAAGGUUAGAACUCUGGCUUAGCGACCAUGAGAGCACUUGUUCCCCUUCACCAAAAUGAAAGUCUCGGAGGGUUGCACAACACUGAAGUGUCUGAGGAGCUGUGUCGCCAUGCUGGACUGCUUUGGAAUUAAUGGUCUCAGCUGAGGCCGAGAUCUGUCUGCCCCUCUGACAUCUCAUGGGCCACCAGCCACUGGGAGUAGCAGUUUUUCAACUCAAAAUGUUGGACAAGAUGAGAAGGCCAAUAUGAAGUGUGCAAGUGUGGGAAAUCAUCAAUGUAAUAUGCUAUGUGUGAUGUUGGUGCUAUGAAAACACGGUAGAGAUCUUUCGUUUAUCUUGUACAGCAAUCCCUCAUUAAAAGUAGAAUUAUUCGUAAUAAAAAUAAAUAAGAAUCACACUGCUCUUAAGUGAUUCUUUUAUCUGUCUCUUUGGGUGAGGAUAAAGAUUUGUGCACAGAAAACAAUUUCAACAAAAAUAUAAAGUAUAAUGAGUAAAUCUAUAAACAUUUUAGAUAUUGUUACAAUGUUCUAAUAUACUAACCACUCUCAGAUAUCACCAUGAUCCUGAUGUUGUCAAUUGUUGGUGAUAAAAUCCUUUGAUUCUUAUAACUCUUUACUGAGGAGGAAUAUAAAGGGAACUUAAUAUUUACAUGCUCAGAAAUUGGGGAGGUAAGAAGCUAUCUAGAAGAGUGUUAUGGGAGGAAAGAGAAAUGGCACCUAAAUAAAAUAUUUAAAAAAAAGAUUUUAUGGAGAAAUGAAACACUGAAUUUUAAAGGACAGGGAGGAGAGUUCGGGAACCCCAGGACUCCUGUUGGAAAAAAUCUCCGUAUUAUGUCCCCAUCCAACCCACCCCCAAAAUUCAUAUGUUAAGAAGAGAACAUUAGGAUAUAUACCAAGAGAUAUGGGAAAUGAGGGCACAGAGAGAAAAGGUUGUGCAAGAAGAUACCACCUACAAGCCAAGGAGAGAGUUCUCAGGAAAACCAAACUCUCAUCUUCAUCUUGAACUUAAAACCUCCAGAGCUAUGAAAAAAAAUAGUUUUUAUUGUUUAAGUCACUCGGUCUGUGGCAUUUUGUUAUGGAAGCCAGAGAAGACUAAUACAGUUCCAUGUGAAUAAGAGAAAAGUUGGGGUCAGGGAUGGUGGGGGAGAGGAGCUUGGAGAGACCCCUGCAGCCAAUCAUGAGGGCUCAGUUAGUGUCCACAGUUUGAGCUCCACCUGGAAAACAAGGAGAGCCCUGGAAAGAUGUAAAAGGGGACAAUCAGAGAAGAGGUUUCAGGUUUGUAAGGGGGAAGCUCACUGGAGGGGGCACAGCUGUGAGUGGUAGACUCUCCAGGAAGCUAAUAAUGCAGAUGUCAAUCACUGAGGUUCUGAACUGAGAAGGUGGUGGGGUGGAUGCCAGAGAGGAUUAUGAGGUUACAGUGAUAGAACUGAAUGACUGGGAGUGUGAGUUGUCAGAAGUCAGGGAGGAUCCCAAUUUCUAACUUGGGGAGCUGGGUGAGUGGAAAUGGCAUUUGGUAUGGAGUGGAAAAUAUGAAAUUCUGUGGUGGAUAUAUGCAUUUUACACGCUCUGGGUGGAAGGGGAAGCAGUAGUGAGCUAAUGAGCGUGCUCAAAGGAAGGCCUCUUUUUUUCAGAAUGGAGGAAGAAGCAUGGGCGGGGGUGUGGCUCUGUAGUGCAGUGCUUGCUUGGCAUGUGCAAGGCCCUGGGUUCCAUCCCCAGCACAGGAAAAGAAGAAAAUAAGGGAGGUGCAUGUGCAAACCCCAAGCUGGGGUCUGAGGCCAGAGGUGGAAGGAUGGGAUAUUGGAAGAUACAAAGGGAUAUUUGCUGUUUUUCAGUUGCCUGCAUCAAACCUUCUUCCGAGUUGCUCCCAGGGUCCUUUUGGAGAGGCAACUUGCAAAAGUGAUGGAAAGCAGGGACUCCGGACGGAGUCUGACCCUCAUUAUUUUGAAUCCAGCUUUUUACCAGACUUAGAAGUGUGACCUCCAACAGAGUAAGUCAGCUAUCUAUGACUCUGCCUCGUUGUAUAUAAAAAGAGACAAUAGUAUCUUCUUUAGAGUCUGUGGGAAGGACUAAUUGUGUUAGGUGUCACUCUUGGCCCUGCACUCCCCGUGGAGUGUGGCCUCAGGAGUAAUUCCUUGUGGCUCUCCCCUUCUAUGGAAGCCACCUCACUCCCUGAAGGCUCACUCCUGGGAUUCUCCACCUUGAAGCAGAGAAGCCAGAGGAGGAGCCAUCCGCCUCAGCACUGAGGUGCAGGUCCUGCCCCAGGCUUCUGGAGGUGUUUGGUGACACCAUCUGCAAGCUUGUUUCCCAGCCUGCCCUCAAUUCUUUGAGUCUCAAUAUUCUUUUGAUAAAUUCUCCAGAAUUAUUUUCUGUUCCAGCUAGGAGUCUCUCUGAUGGAGAAAGAGGGACACAGAUGAUUCUGAACCUAUCUAGGAUUACUAAGUCACAGUGAAGAGCAAGUCUACUUUAGAAAUGUCACCUCUGUAAAGUUACCAGUCCUCCAUGGUGUUAUUUUUUCCCAAAAGUACUCAGUGGCUUCAGUGGAAAUGUAAGAAUCAUGCAAAUGUCAUUUAUUAUCAUCUCCAAAGCAAUCAGGAACCAGUGAAGAGAUGACAUAGUGAUCAGGGUCUGGUUUUUAUUUGUGUGUGUGUGUAAAAAAUUGCAACACAUUUUUCACUAAUCCAUAAAAAAAAGGCUUUUAGUUUUAUUUCUUUAAUAUUGCUUCUGCCUUAAAAGUCUAAAAUGCCACCUUGGAAUUAUCUGUAACCACUUGAAGUUUAUAAAAUGCUAUCAUUAAUGUUAAUAGUUCGAAUUUACCUAACUCUUUUGUUCAAAGCACUAUAUCAUUAAGUGUUUACCUAAGCUAGGAAAGAUUUAUCUUGUCAUUAUAUAAGGGAGUAAAAUGAGAAUUUUUCCAAAAUUUGGCAUGGAUAUAUUUCAUUGAUGAUCAAAUGCCUUUUUUUAUCAUGAACGUCAGCAUCAUCAUUACUUAGAUUUAUUAAUUAUGUUUGUAAAGUACUCCUGCUAAUACUACCUUAUUUGAGCCAAAAUCACUUUUUUUCCCAACUGCACAUACUUUCUAGUCUUUGCAAUGUGUCUUGGAUCUGUGGUAGGUGCUAAGGAUAUACCUAUUAAUUACUAAGACUAAUUAACUACUACAAUUACUAAGGGGGCAUCCCCUAUUCUCAAUACCCUUACAAGCUAGCAAUGGAGUUAGACAAGUAAACUAAUGAGUGCAGCAUCCUGGGAAUAAUUCUAUGCUGGAAUUUGGGAACCAGAGAAGCAUACAGGUGGUCCAAAACCAGAAUGGGGUAAGGAGGGAAUCACAAAUUUCCCAUAGAUUUUUAAAAAACACAGUACAGAGAUAAUUACCUGUUCUAUUUCAUAGAACAAAAACAGGGCUCAGAGUGUUCCAGGGCCCCCCAGUCAAUAAUAGCUAAGGAAUGGAUCAAGAUGACCAUGUCCUACCCCUCUCCUUCCACUAUACAAUGAUGUGUCACAAAGAUCAUUACUGUCAUUUUACCAAUGGUGACAUCACGACUGUAUGAAAUUUAACAGGGAAUAACCAUUAUGUACAACUGUAAUACACCAAUCAAAAAUAUGGAAAAGAGAUUUAAUAGAAUAGGUACAUCCUAUGACUUCACUUCAGACUUGACCCCUCCCAGAUCCGUGAACUCAGAUGGGCUUUUCUGAUUGUGUGAAUGUGGGGAAAUGAAAAAAGAACAACAACAACAAAGGUUAAAGAGAAGGAUGGGUAAUCAUUUAGGAAAGAAGCAAGAGAAAGUUCUAUGUAUUAUUAGAAGAGUCAUCAGAGGAUCUUCCUACAUAACUCACCUGUUGCAGAUUGGUUAUAUUUGGGGGGCUCACAGAUAAUGACUACUUCCACUCUUCAUAAAAUGUUCCGUUUCUAACAUUGUUCCAAAAGCAUUUUUUUAACCAUCUAGUUUUUUGGUCUAACUUCUUAUGCUUUCUCCUUGAAACUGGGAAUAUCUUUGAACUGGGUUCUCAACCUUUUCUGUAACGAUCACCUUGGGUGGUAAUGAACACCAAGAUGAUGGUGUAGCUCUUACUAUGUUCAAAUAUAACCUAAAUUUGGUACUACAUUUCAAUGAUUGCUCAUUUCAAACAUUUUGAUCUAGCCCCCAAGUUUCCAAAUUUCUUUGCUUCCUAGAGAACUGAUUUUUUCCACUGUGGAUGUCUAAGCAGCCUUUAAAACACUCCACAAAACUCCAAAUGGUUAUAUUAGCUGGGUAAGAGAUAAGGGUUAAGGAAAGUAUCCAGGCAUCCAACCACAUUACUGCCAUUUUGUACAAGCUUCAGAUGAAAUACAGUCCCUCAAUAAAGUCCUUCUGUUUCUCUUUCCCUCCCUCUCUUUUCCUCUCCCUAUUUGCUGGAGAGGGGAACCCUAAACCCUGUGGAGCCUCGCCAGCAACACCAAAAGAAUCUCUUGACUAUUUUCCCAGGGAAUUCCUGCCUUAAAUGUCAGCCGAGUACAACUCCCCAGCCAAAGCAGAGUCUGCCUGAAUCUGAAUCAAGGCAAAUGUGCCUGUUAUGCCCAAUAAGAAAACCUGGCUCCAUCCAUAGGCCAUGGGGGUGCAGAGAGAAACUGAUUUCUUUGAAAGUUUCAACAUCCAUUGGAGAGGCAGGUUUUCUCAGAGUCACCUCAUUGAGGAAGAGGAGGUUACAUCAAGCAUUCUCAUCCCUUGCUGGUGUUCAAUUGCUUUUUUUAAAUUUCAUUCCUUUGGUGGUGAAUAUAUCUGGAAACCACCCUGAAUUAUAAACAUAAGGUAAUGCAUCUUUGAAAAGGAAACAAAGCUUCAUUAAGCCCUUUGUUGUGGAGGCUUGGGCUGCUACUGCUGUUGUUGUUCUGUUUAUUUGUUUGUUUUUAAUGAACAUACUGAUCUAUCAGUGCUCUGGGGGAAAUUCAUGAUGCCGAGAUUCAUGAAAAGCAAAAUAAGAUUUAUGAGUUGGGAUUGGAUGUGCCCACCAGCCUGGAGACACUUCCCGUCUGGUACCGAGGCAUUGUUGGCAUUUUUAGUGCCUUUGUUUCAGUCUUCAAUCUCUGAACACAUGAAGAAAUAUUAAAAGUUCUCAGGGCAAGGGUAGGGAAAAGCAGUCCACAAAUCUCAAAGAUAUACAUCAGCUCCAAAGCAAAACAGUAUGGCGUAGAAGAUUAAAAAUUCAGAAACAGAGCACAUUGAACAGCUAGUUCUGGCUAGGUACCCUUGGCAUUUUUCAGUUACUUCAUGAGGCUCUUGGACUAAAAAUCCAUACAGUCAUUGGGUGUGGAAGACCAACUUCAGAUCAAUGUACCCCAUAACUAUCAUUCACCCCACCCCAGAGAAUCACAGCAUUAUACAGUAAGAAAGUCAGGUUUUAAUUAUAAAUCAUUAUUUCAUUUUUAAAUGAACUAAGCCUUUUUAAAGUUGUCCAAAGGGGAAAAAAAAUUGAUUCUGACUCUCAUUUGGGUGGAGGCCCAGUUGCAGGCAGUUCAACUUGGAAGCUAUUACUUACAUUCACCAGGGUGCAACCUCACACUGCCCCACCAGCAACCUGAGCACCUUAUAACUGCUUUCUUCCAUCCUCCAUACGUCAUCACAGACGGUUCUGUUGGAAAUUACUGUCCCUCGUCAGAAGGAAAGCCAGGCAAGUAGCU
rnacentral:lncRNA from 1 species